rnacentral:rRNA from 1 species
GUGGGGAAUUUUGGACAAUGGGCGCAAGCCUGAUCCAGCAAUGCCGCGUGCAGGAAGAAGGCCUUCGGGUUGUAAACUGCUUUUGUACGGAACGAAACGGUCCUGGCUAAUAUCCGGGGCUAAUGACGGUACCGUAAGAAUAAGCACCGGCUAACUACGUGCCAGCAGCCGCGGUAAUACGUAGGGUGCGAGCGUUAAUCGGAAUUACUGGGCGUAAAGCGUGCGCAGGCGGUGCUGUAAGACAGGCGUGGAAUCCCCGGGCUCAACCUGGGGAUUGCGCUUGGGACUGCAGUGCUGGAGUGCGGCAGAGGGGGAUGGAAUUCCGCGUGUAGCAGUGAAAUGCGUAGAUAUGCGGAGGAACACCGAUGGCGAAGGCAGUCCCCUGGGCCUGUACUGACGCUCAUGCACGAAAGCGUGGGGAGCAAACAGGAUUAGAAACCCUGGUAGUCC